UUUAUGGAGAGUUUGAUCCUGGCUCAGAGUGAACGCUGGCGGCGUGCCUAAUACAUGCAAGUCGAACGAUGAAGCUUCUAGCUUGCUAGAAUGCUGAUUAGUGGCGCACGGGUGAGUAACGCAUAGGUCAUGUGCCUCUUAGUUUGGGAUAGCCAUUGGAAACGAUGAUUAAUACCAGAUACUCCCUACGGGGGAAAGAUUUAUCGCUAAGAGAUCAGCCUAUGUCCUAUCAGCUUGUUGGUAAGGUAAUGGCUUACCAAGGCUAUGACGGGUAUCCGGCCUGAGAGGGUGAACGGACACACUGGAACUGAGACACGGUCCAGACUCCUACGGGAGGCAGCAGUAGGGAAUAUUGCUCAAUGGGGGAAACCCUGAAGCAGCAACGCCGCGUGGAGGAUGAAGGUUUUAGGAUUGUAAACUCCUUUUGUUAGAGAAGAUAAUGACGGUAUCUAACGAAUAAGCACCGGCUAACUCCGUGCCAGCAGCCGCGGUAAUACGGAGGGUGCAAGCGUUACUCGGAAUCACUGGGCGUAAAGAGCGCGUAGGCGGGAUAGUCAGUCAGGUGUGAAAUCCUAUGGCUUAACCAUAGAACUGCAUUUGAAACUACUAUUCUAGAGUGUGGGAGAGGUAGGUGGAAUUCUUGGUGUAGGGGUAAAAUCCGUAGAGAUCAAGAGGAAUACUCAUUGCGAAGGCGACCUGCUGGAACAUUACUGACGCUGAUUGCGCGAAAGCGUGGGGAGCAAACAGGAUUAGAUACCCUGGUAGUCCACGCCCUAAACGAUGGAUGCUAGUUGUUGGAGGGCUUAGUCUCUCCAGUAAUGCAGCUAACGCAUUAAGCAUCCCGCCUGGGGAGUACGGUCGCAAGAUUAAAACUCAAAGGAAUAGACGGGGACCCGCACAAGCGGUGGAGCAUGUGGUUUAAUUCGAAGAUACACGAAGAACCUUACCUAGGCUUGACAUUGAGAGAAUCCGCUAGAAAUAGUGGAGUGUCUAGCUUGCUAGACCUUGAAAACAGGUGCUGCACGGCUGUCGUCAGCUCGUGUCGUGAGAUGUUGGGUUAAGUCCCGCAACGAGCGCAACCCCCUUUCUUAGUUGCUAACAGGUUAUGCUGAGAACUCUAAGGAUACUGCCUCCGUAAGGAGGAGGAAGGUGGGGACGACGUCAAGUCAUCAUGGCCCUUACGCCUAGGGCUACACACGUGCUACAAUGGGGUGCACAAAGAGAAGCAAUACUGCGAAGUGGAGCCAAUCUUCAAAACACCUCUCAGUUCGGAUUGUAGGCUGCAACUCGCCUGCAUGAAGCUGGAAUCGCUAGUAAUCGCAAAUCAGCCAUGUUGCGGUGAAUACGUUCCCGGGUCUUGUACUCACCGCCCGUCACACCAUGGGAGUUGUGUUUGCCUUAAGUCAGGAUGCUAAAUUGGCUACUGCCCACGGCACACACAGCGACUGGGGUGAAGUCGUAACAAGGUAACCGUAGGUGAACCUGCGGUUGGAUCACCUCCUUU
rnacentral:rRNA from 1 species